CCUACGGGGUGCAGCAGUGGGGGAUAUUGCACAAUGGGGGAAACCCUCAUGCAGCGACGCCGCGUGGGUGAAGAAGCGCCUCGGCGCGUAAAGCCCUGUCAGCAGGGAAGAAAAUGACGGUACCUGAAGAAGAAGCCCCGGCUAACUACGUGCCAGCAGCCGCGGUAAUACGUAGGGGGCAAGCGUUAUCCGGAUUUACUGGGUGGAAAGGGGGCGCAGACGGCGAGGCAAGCCAGGAGUGAAAGCCCGGGGCCCAACCCCGGGACUGCUCUUGGAACUGCGUGGCUGGAGUGCAGGAGGGGCAGGCGGAAUUCCUGGUGUAGCGGUGAAAUGCGUAGAUAUCAGGAGGAACACCGGUGGCGAAGGCGGCCUGCUGGACUGCAACUGACGUUGAGGCCCGAAAGCGUGGGGAGCAAACAGGAUUAGAUACCCCAGUAGUC
rnacentral:rRNA from 1 species